AUGUUCAUCCAUGUUACUGGAGAAACCAAUGAUCCUAGACUAGGGAAAACAUGUUAUGCACUGGAAGCUGGAAGCAGCAGUUCUAUGCCACCAAUCGCUCCCGCAAGAAGAGAUAUAAAUGAAGAGAUGCCAACUUAUUGCCAAGAAAGCAGAAGUGAUGAAGGAGUAAUUCAAAUGCAAGAAGGAUAUGUAGCCCUAACACCCAAUUUUUCUAAAAUUUAUUUUCUAAAUUUUAUUUUCUUCUUCUUCUGUUUCAUUGUUUUUCUAAAUUUUCUAAACAAUUCACAUUAUUUUAUUUUCUGA
rnacentral:rRNA from 1 species